rnacentral:rRNA from 1 species
CCUGACUGCUAUCGGAUUGAUACUAAGCCAUGCGAGUCAUUGUAGUAAUACAAGGCAGACGGCUCAGUAACGCGUAGUCAACCUACCCUAUGGACGGGAAUAACCUCGGGAAACUGAGUAUAAUGCCCGAUAGAACACAAUGCCUGGAACGGUUUGUGUUCCAAAUGRUUUAUCGCCGUAGGAUGGGACUGCGGCCUAUCAGUUUGUUGGUGAGGUAAUGGCCCACCAAGACUAUUACAGGUACGGGCUCUGAGAGGAGUAGCCCGGAGAUGGGUACUGAGGCACGGACCCAGGCCCUAUGGGGCGCAGCAGGCGAGAGAACUUUGCAAUGUGCGAAAGCACGACAAGGUUAAUCCGAGUGGUUUCUGCUAAAGAAACCUUUUGACAGUCCUAAAAACACUGUUGAAUAAGGGGUGGGCAAGUUCUGGUGUCAGCCGCCGCGGUAAAACCAGCACCUCAAGUGGUCAGGAUGAUUAUUGGGCCUAAAGCAUCCGUAGCCGGCUCUGUUAGUUUUCGGUUAAAUCUGUACGCUCAACGUACAGGCUGCCGGAWAUACUGCAKRGCUAGGGAGUGGGAGAGGUAGACGGUACUCGGUASGAAGGGGUAAAAUCCUUUGAUCUAUCGAUGACCACCUGUGGCGAASGCGGUCUACCAGAACACGUSCGACGGYGAGGGAUGAAAGCUGGGGGAGCAAACCGGAUUAGAUACCCGGGUAGUCCCAGCUGUAAACUAUGCAAACUCAGYGAUGCGUUGGCUUGUGGCCAAUGCAGUGCUGCAUGSAAGMCGUUAAGUUUGCCGCCUGGGAAGUACGUACGCAMGUAUGARACUUAAAGGAAUUGGCGGRGGAGCACCACWAGGGGUGAAGCCUGCGGUUC